rnacentral:lncRNA from 1 species
GUAGCCUAGUGGUUAGAGUGGAGGGGAGGCAUGUAGCCUAGUGGUUAGAGUGGAGGGGCGGCAGGUAGCCUAGUGGUUAGAGUGGAGGGGCGGCAGGUAGCCUAGUGGUUAGAGUGGAGGGGCGGCAGGUUAGAGUGGAGGGGCGGCAGGUAACCUAGUGGUUAGAGUGGAGGGGCGGCAGGUAGCCUAGUGGUUAGAGAGGAGGGGCGGCAGGUAGUCUAGUGGUUAGAGUGGAGGGGCGGCAGGUAGCCUAGUGGUUAGAGUGGAGGGGAGGCAUGUAGCCUAGUGGUUAGAGUGGAGGGGUGGCAGGUAGCCUAGUGGUUAGAGCGGAGGGCCAGUAACCAAAAGGUUGCAAGAUCGAAUCCCCGAGCUGACAAGGUAAAAAUCUGUCAUCCUGAACAAGGCAGUUAACCCGAAAAUAAGAAUUUGUUCUUAACUGACUUGCCAAGUUAAAUAAAGGUGAAAUACAUUAUUUUUUUUUAUGAUACUGAAGUACAUUUUAGCAAUUCCAUUUACUUUUGAUACUUCAGUAUAUAUAAAACCAAAUACUUUUAGACUUUUACUCAAGUAGUAUUUUACUGGGUGACUUUCACUUUUACUUGAGUAAUUUUCUAUGAAGGUAUCUUUACAAUUGAGGUACUUUUUCCACCACUGGAUGAAAUUGUCCUGUUUGGCUUUACAGUGGAGUUGUUAAUACCAGACACAGACUUGGGACCAGGCUAGCCAAAGGAGCAACACUUCACGUUAAGUUGCCCUUCUGUCAAACUACAACUCUCGCUGAUAAACAAAUAGUAUUCAGCUGGACGGAUAAGGUUCAUGAAACAAUGGUUCCAUUUUAAAGGGAAUGCGCCAAGUUCUAGACAUUUCUAUAUUGACACAUGGCAAAUAUUUUAAGAAGCUUCUGGGCCGUGACAGAGGUAGCAUGAAUGUUGAGAUGACACACACAUAAAAGAGAUCUAUCAGAAUGUGACACUAACCAACAGCAGUAUUAAUGUUCCGGGCCGCUGUAUAAUUCAUUGUGUUUUCACCGUGUUUUGGAAUAUUGGUGAAAUGGAACAAAGACUCUUUAUUCCAGGCUAGGCCCAAAUGACACUCUAUUCACCUAUGUAGUGCACUAUACAGAGAAUAGGGUUCCAUUUGGGACGCGUUCUAGGUUGUUCCACUGUCCACAAGGACACGGCAGAUUACUCGGGGCCGGGGCCGGGGCCCAGCCAUGUAAACACAGGUGUGUCACUUCAGUUCAGCCAGUUGUUAUCGUUAAACUUGAUCUAGAUUCUAAUGUUGUUGGACUCAAUACUUGGGACUGGAUUGUGUAUUUAUAUGUAUUUAAGCAUUUCAAAUAUGAUGAAUCUCAUUAUUACCAGGUAAAUGUGUUAACAGUAUAUUGUUUCUAUGGUGGAAGCUCUAGUCUCGAUCUCAGUGUUUUCUGAUCGGAUGAAUUGAGUUGUUUUUAUAUAUUUCAAAAAGAGAUAAAACAGAAGAUUUUCUGCUGAUUUUUAAAAACAGUCCUAUGCUGUUUCUCUGGUGCGUAGGAGCUCUACUCUUCGUGGCAGGAUCGAGCUCUGCUCUAGUCUCUCUGGUGUUGAUGGCAUCGUGUCAGUGCACGUCAACAUUCACCAUCUCCUCUGGGAUCGCUGCCAAUCACAUAAAUCCUCCUCACUUUAAUUCUCAG